GAGCGAUGAAGAAUUAUGGAGUUAGUUGAUGGAUUGAAUUUCAUCACGUUCAUCUGAAUUUCAGAUGAAACUUGUAUAUCUGAGCUC